rnacentral:rRNA from 1 species
AGAGUUUGAUCCUUGCUCAGGACGAACGCUGGCGGCGUGCUUAACACAUGCAAGUCGAACGAUGAUGCCCAGCUUGCUGGGUGGAUUAGUGGCGAACGGGUGAGUAACACGUGAGUAACCUGCCCCUGACUCUGGGAUAAGCGUUGGAAACGACGUCUAAUACUGGAUAUGAUCACUGGCCGCAUGGUCUGGUGGUGGAAAGAUUUUUUGGUUGGGGAUGGACUCGCGGCCUAUCAGCUUGUUGGUGAGGUAAUGGCUCACCAAGGCGACGACGGGUAGCCGGCCUGAGAGGGUGACCGGCCACACUGGGACUGAGACACGGCCCAGACUCCUACGGGAGGCAGCAGUGGGGAAUAUUGCACAAUGGGCGAAAGCCUGAUGCAGCAACGCCGCGUGAGGGAUGACGGCCUUCGGGUUGUAAACCUCUUUUAGUAGGGAAGAAGCGAAAGUGACGGUACCUGCAGAAAAAGCACCGGCUAACUACGUGCCAGCAGCUGCGGUAAUACGUAGGGUGCAAGCGUUGUCCGGAAUUAUUGGGCGUAAAGAGCUCGUAGGCGGUUUGUCGCGUCUGCUGUGAAAUCCCGAGGCUCAACCUCGGGCUUGCAGUGGGUACGGGCAGACUAGAGUGCGGUAGGGGAGAUUGGAAUUCCUGGUGUAGCGGUGGAAUGCGCAGAUAUCAGGAGGAACACCGAUGGCGAAGGCAGAUCUCUGGGCCGUAACUGACGCUGAGGAGCGAAAGCAUGGGGAGCGAACAGGAUUAGAUACCCUGGUAGUCCAUGCCGUAAACGUUGGGCGCUAGAUGUAGGGACCUUUCCACGGUUUCUGUGUCGUAGCUAACGCAUUAAGCGCCCCGCCUGGGGAGUACGGCCGCAAGGCUAAAACUCAAAGGAAUUGACGGGGGCCCGCACAAGCGGCGGAGCAUGCGGAUUAAUUCGAUGCAACGCGAAGAACCUUACCAAGGCUUGACAUACACCGGAAACGGCCAGAGAUGGUCGCCCCCUUGUGGUCGGUGUACAGGUGGUGCAUGGUUGUCGUCAGCUCGUGUCGUGAGAUGUUGGGUUAAGUCCCGCAACGAGCGCAACCCUCGUUCUAUGUUGCCAGCGGGUUAUGCCGGGGACUCAUAGGAGACUGCCGGGGUCAACUCGGAGGAAGGUGGGGAUGACGUCAAAUCAUCAUGCCCCUUAUGUCUUGGGCUUCACGCAUGCUACAAUGGCCGGUACAAAGGGCUGCGAUACCGUAAGGUGGAGCGAAUCCCAAAAAGCCGGUCUCAGUUCGGAUUGAGGUCUGCAACUCGACCUCAUGAAGUCGGAGUCGCUAGUAAUCGCAGAUCAGCAACGCUGCGGUGAAUACGUUCCCGGGCCUUGUACACACCGCCCGUCAAGUCAUGAAAGUCGGUAACACCCGAAGCCGGUGGCCUAACCCUUGUGGAAGGAGCCGUCGAAGGUGGGAUCGGUGAUUAGGACUAAGUCGUAACAAGGUAGCCGUACCGGAAGGUGCGGCUGGAUCACCUCCUU